rnacentral:tRNA from 1 species
GAGGAUAUAGCUCAGUGGUAGAGCACGUGCUUAGCAUGCAUGAAGUCCUGGGUUCAAUCCCCAGUACCUCCA